rnacentral:rRNA from 1 species
AUUGAACGCUGGCGGCAGGCUUAACACAUGCAAGUCGAGCGGAGCGAGGGUGCUUGCACCUUAGCUUAGCGGCGGACGGGUGAGUAAUGCUUAGGAAUCUGCCUAUUAGUGGGGGACAACGUUUAGAAAGGAACGCUAAUACCGCAUACGUCCUACGGGAGAAAGCAGGGGAUCUUCGGACCUUGCGCUUAUAGAUGAGCCUAAGUCGGAUUAGCUAGUUGGUGGGGUAAAGGCCUACCAAGGCGACGAUCUGUAGCGGGUCUGAGAGGAUGAUCCGCCACACUGGGACUGAGACACGGCCCAGAAUACUACGGGAGGCAGCAGUGGGGAAUAUUGGACAAUGGGGGGAACCCGGAACCAGGCAUGCCGCGUGUGUGAAGAAGGCCUUUUGGUUGUAAAGCACUUUAAGCGAGGAGGAGGCUACUGAGACUAAUACUCUUGGAUAGUGGACGUUACUCGCAGAAUAAGCACCGGCUAACUCUGUGCCAGCCGCCGCCGUAAAAC